UGUUAGACCAGGCUGCCAACGAGCUGUACAUGAAAGCUGAAAUACUAUUAAACAAAUUCUAGAUUAUGAGGAAUAGUGUGAUUAACAAAGGUUAAUUUGCAAGACAUGUCCUACAUAUAUAAUCAUCAUGGCCUUCACCAAGGAUUCCUCUUUUCCAAGAGUUAAGUGUUUGUUCAUGGAAUAAAUGUUUUGGUAAUUAUUUUCCUUGACUCCGAAGUGGCAUGAUCAUCUAUCAUGGCUGAUGGGUUUGUGAUGGAACCUCAUAAACCAUUUUCCAAACACUUCUUUUUCUUGGACCUUCAAAAUCAGUAAGUACUACAGUCACUCUCCGAACAAGCAAACCAUAAGAUGUGAAAAGUUGUAGAAUAUCUAGACUAAGUUCUCGGAUCUUUGCAGAUGGGAUUUCUGAUUUUACCAAGGCAGUGUGGUCGAACUUCUUGAUGGUCACUCAUAUAAUUCACAUGACAUUAUUGGUUAUCUUGGUCAUCUUCUCAACUUUUCCUGCCAGACUUUUGUGUCUUUGUUUUUCUUAUUAAUGGCAUGCUGUAGAAACAUGAGAUGUAAAGAAGAGAUUUUUCCUUGUGGCCUUACUGGUAAAGGGAAUGUGAUAGAACAUAUGUUAAUCGUUACCAUUCUCUAUUUCACAAGAAGUGCCCACUUCAUCAAAGGUAUUUCUAUGCGUCCUUAAAAGCAUUUUAUCAAAAUGAAGUUAGUUUCUGCAUUUCUUUACAUGCUAAUUUCUUUUCUGCAAAUGAAACAUGAAAGAAGUCGUUAGUUUCAUGGCUGAAAAUGGUAGUGGCAAAAAAAUAAAAAAUGGUAGUUGCAAAGAAGUAUAUAGCUGACAGGGCGUUGUGCAAAGCCACGUUACAGCUCCAGUUUUCAGGAAAACAUUACCCGAAAACAACCACUCGCUGAUUCAAGUGGUAGCAUGAUAUCUUUAUCAUCCAAAUGCUUUAUUAUUUUUCUCCAAGCAAAGGAAACGAAAAACAUUGUCAAUAGGAGCAAAAGUGGGACCAUAAUGUAUAUGCACAGAUGUCUAUAUUUUUUUUUUGGUAGGAUGCACAGAUGUCUAUUUUAUCAUUGGGUUGUGUCGAUUUGUAUUGACCAUAAUGAAUAUGCACAGAUGUCUCUGUUAUCAUUGGGUUGUUUCGAUUUGUAUUUCAUGUCCGGUGGCUUAUUGAAGGCUUUUGGCCAUUUACGAAAUUAGUAAGUUUUACUAUCUAAUAACUUUGAGUUUGUUUU